rnacentral:rRNA from 1 species
GAUGAACGCUGGCGGCGUGCCUAAUACAUGCAAGUCGAGCGAACAGACGAGGAGCUUGUUCCUUUGACGUUAGCGGCGGACGGGUGAGUAACACGUAGGUAACCUACCUAUAAGACUGGGAUAACUUCGGGAAACCGGAGCUAAUACCGGAUAAUAUUUCGAACCGCAUGGUUCGAUAGUGAAAGAUGGCUUUGCUAUCACUUAUAGAUGGACCUGCGCCGUAUUAGCUAGUUGGUAAGGUAACGGCUUACCAAGGCAACGAUACGUAGCCGACCUGAGAGGGUGAUCGGCCACACUGGAACUGAGACACGGUCCAGACUCCUACGGGAGGCAGCAGUAGGGAAUCUUCCGCAAUGGGCGAAAGCCUGACGGAGCAACGCCGCGUGAGUGAUGAAGGUCUUCGGAUCGUAAAACUCUGUUAUUAGGGAAGAACAAACGUGUAAGUAACUGUGCACGUCUUGACGGUACCUAAUCAGAAAGCCACGGCUAACUACGUG